UACGUAGGGGGCAAGCGUUGUUCGGAAUUACUGGGCGUAAAGCGCGCGCAGGCGGUCUUCCAAGUCAGUGGUGAAAGCCCGGAGCUCAACUCCGGAACUGCCAUUGAAACUGUUAGACUUGAGGACGAGAGAGGUGAGUGGAAUUCCCAGUGUAGAGGUGAAAUUCGUGAGAUAGUUGGGAAGAACACCGGUGGCGAAGGCGGCUCACUGGCUCGUAUCUGACGCUCAGGCGCGACAGCGUGGGGAUCAAACAGG
rnacentral:rRNA from 1 species